UGGCGGACGGGUGAGUAACGCGUGGAAAACCUGCCGUAUACUGGGGGAUAACAGUUAGAAAUGACUGCUAACACCGCAUAAGCGCACGGUAAGGCAUCUUAGUGUGUGAAAAUAUUAAUAGGUACAGGAUGGGCCCGCGUCUGAUUAGCCAGUUGGCAGGGUAACGGCCUACCAAAGCGACGAUCAGUAGCCGGCUUGAGAGAGUGAACGGCCACAUUGGGACUGAGACACGGCCCAAACUCCUACGGGAGGCAGCAG
rnacentral:rRNA from 1 species